GGGGUUAGGGAGAGAGAUGUUGGGCCGACCUAUUUGAUGGGGAGAAGCCAUCGUGAGGUGGUAGCCCAGAUUAGGUUUGCCUUGGAGGGAUUCUUCCAAGGGGUUUUCGGAGGAUGGGCCUAUAAGGAGUAAGGCUACCUCUCAAGGCUGCGAUGGUGGAGAAGGGGUGGGAUCCACUUGUGGUGAUUCUUACUAAUAAAGAUUCUUGCUUGGAAUGUGA
rnacentral:lncRNA from 1 species